AGGCAUUUGGCACCCCCGCAAAUUACAAAUAUUUUGAUUUGAUAGUUUCAUAUUUAAUUAUUCUUACUACUAAAUUUUUAAAAUUACCAAUAUUAUGGUCUCAGAUCUCGCCAUACAGGCCUAGAAAACAAAUUUUGCUAAACUUUUUCCUUGGCCUUUCCGGGCAUUGCCACCACGCCCCGGCCAAAGCAAGCAGCAGCACCCCCCCCCCUCCCCAGAUAUUUAUCCACCCCCCCUGAACGAAAAUAUGAAAAUCCGUCUCUAGAUGCUACACGCAACAACUCGAAAUUUAAAUUGUUUCACCAACAACCAAAUUUGGCAUAUUCUAAAACUACAUUUGCUUUGGCAGCUGUCGCUAAAAGCCUAAAAGCAUCCCACGAGACUACUGAUAUGCUAAACUUAUUUAAAACUAGGAUUAUUCCCAUGAUCCUUUUAGUGGCCAUAUUACAUUUGACUAUUGUCUCAGUGACAACUUUAAUUAAAAUACCUGUAGCUAUACAGGAUUAAAUAAUGAAUAAUAAGCACUACCCUAACGAUAAUAUUUAUAUAUUUGAAAACAACACUGCUUCGCUCCUUCGUAGCAUCGUCACGCCAUCGUUGAUCUACGGCUUGAUAGCGCAUGCGCAUUUGCGCUGCUAAAGAAAAAUCGGGUGUUCCUGGGGAAAGAUCCUUUACAUAAGUGAACACAAAAACCAACGAGAUGCAAAUGUUAUAAAAUUUGCAAUAACGACAACGAUUCCUCGAAAUUUUUGUGAACUUGGCAAAAGGCCUAAAGAAUAUUGAAAUAAGACAACUGAAAUUGCCUAAAUAACCUUCAAAACACUAAGUACAUUAUCACUACGAACAUAAAUCCUAUACACCCCCUGGAAAGUUUACU